rnacentral:misc_RNA from 1 species
GAUGAAGAACGCAGCGAAAUGUGAUAAGUAAUGUGAAUUGCAGAAUUCAGUGAAUCAUCGAAUCUUUGAACGCACAUUGCGCCCGCCAGUAUUCUGGCGGGCAUGCCUGUCUGAGCGUCAUUUCAACCCUCAUGCCCCUAGGGCGUGGUGUUGGGGAUCGGCCAAAGCCCGCGAGGGACGGCCGGCCCCUAAAUCUAGUGGCGGACCCGUCGUGGCCUCCUCUGCGAAGUAGUGAUAUUCCGCAUCGGAGAGCGAUGAGCCCCUGCCGUUAAACCCCCAACUUUCCAAGGUUGACCUCAGAUCAGGUAGGAAUACCCGCUGAACUUAAGCAUAUCAAUAAGCGGAGGA